GCUUGUCUCAAAGAUUAAGCCAUGCAUGUCUAAGUAUAAACAAAUUUAUACCGUGAAACUGCGAAUGGCUCAUUAUAUCAGUUAUAGUUUAUUUGAUGGUCCUUGCUACUUGGAUAACCGUAGUAAUUCUAGAGCUAAUACAUGCAUCAAACCCCAACUUCUGGAAGGGGUGUAUUUAUUAGAUGGAAACCAAUGCGGGGCAACCCGGAAUAUGGUGAAUCAUAAUAACUGUCGUAUCGAGCAAUCGAAGCGCCAUACAAGUUUCUGCCCUAUCAGCUUUGGAUGGUAGGGUAUUGGCCUACCAUGGCUUUAACGGGUAACGGAGAAUUAGGGUUCGAUUCCGGAGAGGGAGCCUGAGAAACGGCUACCACAUCCAAGGAAGGCAGCAGG
rnacentral:rRNA from 1 species